rnacentral:rRNA from 1 species
UUAAGAGGAACAGACGGGGGCAUUCGUAUUACGGCGGGAGAGGUGAAAUUCUUGGAUCGCCGUAANNNNNNNNNNUGCGAAAGCAUUUGCCAAGAAUGUUUUCAUUAAUCAAGAACGAAAGUCAGAGGUUCGAAGACGAUCAGAUACCGUCCUAGUUCUGACCAUAAACGAUGCCGACUGGCACUCAGCCGAAGUUGUUCCAAUGACCCGGCUGGUGGCCUCCGUGAAAACUCAAGUCUUUGGGUUCCGGGGGAAGUAUGGUUGCAAAGCUG